GGUAGGGGAACGAAGGCUAGUAGCAUCACGUCCUGUGACAACGCCUUCGUGGCCAACAUCCUGACGU
rnacentral:sRNA from 1 species